AUCUUUUCGUAGUUCAUAAGUGUGAUGAGUGGGUAUUCAUGCAUGUAUGUGGGAUAUGCCACCCUUGACCCUUGUUACAACAUUAGCACAUUAACCAUCUGACA
ensembl:snoRNA